UAUCAUUUGGUUAGAGAUUAAAGAAGGCAUUUUGUCUGAAUAAAGGUCAAUCAUAGCACUUUCUGCAGAACAACAUAUUACUCAAUAUAGGUGACGUUUUAUGUCUUAAGAUGUGUGCUAUGUGUUCAAUAUGUAACUGGUGGUUUAUUUCUAUUAAUAAGUAAUAGAUAUACUGUAUGUUUAUGUAUUUUGUUUAAAUGUAUUAUCAUGUUUGGGUGACUGACAGACAUUCGGUAAAGCAAGAUAUAGAUCUUUAAAGCAUGUGUGCUUUCAUCUUGGUGUCAUUUUAAAAGUAGGUAAGUGGGGUGAGAUACGCUGAUGGUUUUGCCACAGUGAAUUAUUUUCCUACGGAAGUGGGCGCGCACAGAAUAAGAAAUGACUGCUGACUUCCUGCCUACGUCAGAAGCGUCUGUGGUUGUUUUUCUCUGCUGAGAGGUAAACAAGGCAGGAUGUGUGUGUGUGUGUGUGUGUGUGUGUGUGUGUGGUGACAGAAAUGAGGACAGGAAAACUGAUGCAUGCGCCUUUUGCAUGACAUCUUGCAUAAAGGUUGCACAUGCAAAAUCUGGUGCUAAUUAUGCACCAUGCCUGCACCAUGACAGCUUUAUCCUGGUCAGGGUUGCAGUUGUGGAUCCAGAAUACAGGAAUACAUCUUGAAUUGGAUUCCUGUUCAUCACAGAAGAAAAUAAAAAUGUGUUUUUAUGUAUUUUACUCGUGCUCAUUACUGUUACUCUGGCUAUGUUAAUCUUGCUAAUACUCUUUACUGUUAAUCUUGCUAUGCCUUUGCGAGCAUCAUGGGCACGGAUCAAUAAGGAAGACGAUUGCAUUGCAAAAAUUGCAUACCCCAUGGUUAUGGACAUUCAUAACAAUGUUCAUUAACUGUCAUUAAAGGUUAUAUAUAAUGUCUAUAUGCAGUAAGCUUGUUUUUGCAAUACUUAUCCACCAGGGGGUUUGAGGCGAAUCAUUUUUUGAGUCAAAAAUUAAGUGCAUGUUGCCAUCUAUUGUCAAUCCUCCAAACUGUGCUUUACCAGAAUUUUCCUCUUCAUAAUAGAGCCUGGAAGGCAGAAUUAUCCAGUUUGGUUUGCACUUAUUUCAAAUUCUGCUUGCAAAUUAAAAAUCUGAUUUUUAUUUCCUGUAACGAUUACGAUUUAUUUCCUGUAACUGUUACGAUUUUGUUACAGGGACUUUUUCCUUUUUCGUAACAAUUCAACUGAAAUCCAAUUUCAUGAAGAAAAAAUAAUGUCUUUAUUUCCUGUGCUUGUGUUUGCAUUACAUCUCCAUCAGAGGGCUUGAGGGCUUGAGGAGCAGUGUUUCAAAAUAAUAAACUUGGUUGAACUUUCUGAGAAGAACUUUACACUCAGCUCACAUACCUAAAGCAUGUCAUGUGCAUCAUGUGCUUAUUCCGAAAGCACUAGUACCCAGUAUAUUUAAUUCAAAUCAUCAUAAUCUGAAGUCAAUUAACAAACUGCUCUCCAGGUAACGAACUCUAAGCAGCUAAAUCAUUUACACUCCAAACAGAACUUCAGGAUGGAUUUAAAAAAUGUGACAAAUGU